rnacentral:rRNA from 1 species
UACAGAGGUCCCCAAGCGUUUGUUCGGAUUCAUUGGGCGUAAAGGGUGCGUAGGCGGCGCGGUAAGUCGGGUGUGAAAUCUCGGGGCUUAACUCCGAAACUGCAUUCGAUACUGCCGUGCUUGAGGACUGGAGAGGAGACUGGAAUUUACGGUGUAGCGGUGAAAUGCGUAGAUAUCGUAAGGAAGACCAGUGGCGAAGGCGGGGUCUCUGGACAGUUCCUGACGCUGAGGCACGAAGGCCAGGGGGAGCAAACGGG